UACGGGGGGUGCAAGCGUUACUCGGAAUCACUGGGCGUAAAGAGCAUGUAGGCGGAUUAAUAAGUUGGAAGUGAAAUCCUAUAGCUUAACUAUAGAACUGCUUCCAAAACUGUUGAUCUAGAAUAUGGGAGAGGUAGAUGGAAUUUCUGGUGUAGGGGUAAAAUCCGUAGAGAUCAGAAGGAAUACCGAUUGCGAAGGCGAUCUACUGGAACAUUAUUGACGCUCAGAUGCGAAAGCGUGGGGAGCAAACAGGAUUAGAUACCCUGGUAGUCCACGCCCUAAACGAUGUACACUAGUUGUUGCUAUACUAGAUAUGGCAGUAAUGCAGUUAACACAUUAAGUGUACCGCCUGGGGAGUACGGUCGCAAGAUUAAAACUCAAAGGAAUAGACGGGGACCCGCACAAGCGGUGGAGCAUGUGGUUUAAUUCGACGAUACGCGAAAAACCUUACCUGGCCUUGACAUAGUAAGAACUUUCUAGAGAUAGAUUGGUGCUAGCUUGCUAGAGCUUACAUACAGGUGCUGCACGGCUGUCGUCAGCUCGUGUCGUGAGAUGUUGGGUUAAGUCCCGCAACGAGCGCAACCCACGUGAUUAGUUGCUAACGGUUCGGCCGAGAACUCUAGUCAGACUGCCUUCGUAAGGAGGAGGAAGGUGUGGACGACGUCAAGUCAUCAUGGCCCUUACGGCCAGGGCUACACACGUGCUACAAUGGGAUAUACAAAGAGCAGCAAUACCGCGAGGUGGAGCAAAUCUAGAAAAUAUCUCCCAGUUCGGAUUGUUCUCUGCAACUCGAGAACAUGAAGUUGGAAUCGCUAGUAAUCGUAGAUCAGCAUUGCUACGGUGAAUACGUUCCCGGGUCU
rnacentral:rRNA from 1 species